UACGGAGGGUGCAAGCGUUAUCCGGAUUUACUGGGUUUAAAGGGUGCGUAGGUGGGUAGGUAAGUCAGUGGUGAAAUCUUCGAGCUUAACUCGGAAACUGCCAUUGAUACUAUUUAUCUUGAAUACUUUGGAGGUAAGCGGAAUAUGUCAUGUAGCGGUGAAAUGCUUAGAUAUGACAUAGAACACCAAAUUGCGAAGGCAGCUUACUACACAGUUAUUGACACUGAGGCACGAAAGCGUGGGGAUCAAACAGG
rnacentral:rRNA from 1 species